GGCGAGAUGGCCGAGCGGUCUAAGGCGGUUAGUACCACUAUCAACCUCGUAUAUCAAUGAAUGUUCACUAAUAAUCUCUCAGCUGGAGUAAGGUUCCAGUCUCGAAAGGGGCGUGGGUUCAAAUCCCACUCUCGUCA
rfam:Aspergillus flavus AF70 274, whole genome shotgun sequence.